GGAGUAUAUUGACUUACUAUAAAAAAAAAAAAAACAAUACUCUAUGUAAAUAGUAACAAAUAUCUUGUUAAUAUUAAUAACAAAAUAUUAUAUUCUUGAAAUCAUAAUGUACGUGUAUAUUAUAGACAGACAGGGUAUAAUUUAUGCCAGGGGUGUCCAACCUUUUAUGAAGACUAGGCCAUAUACAUUUUAUUUAUAAUUUUACUACAGUGAAUGAGUAGAAAUAUUGCUACUAGCUAUUACAUUUUAUUCAUACAUAAAAGGAGAAAUAUAUUUAUUUAUAAUUAAAAGAAAACAAUUUCAGAACAACAAUGCUAAUAUGAAAAAUUUUUCAUAAAGCUUUAUUUGUGAAAGUAAUGAAUCAAAAUCUGAAUCGAGUGUUUUUCAUUCUCAAAAAAUUAUUCAUAAAUAUAAGAGUUUAUGAGUCAUAUAACUAUAUGUUUUUUAGGUAAAUAUUAUUUAUGAAAAUUAAAUAAAGACAACUGAUUGAAUUUUUCUUUUAAUUGAAUAUCUGAUUGUAACACAAUAUAUUCAAUCUGAAAUUUAUUUUCCUUCCUAAACAGUAAUAUCA